GGGGUUGUAGCUCAGUGGUGGAGCACUUGCCUAACAUGCAUGAGGCACUGAGUUUGAUCCCCAGCACCA
rnacentral:tRNA from 1 species